rnacentral:lncRNA from 1 species
UUGCUGGGUUGUACAGAUCAGGGUGAAGGGUAAAAGAGAUCUGAAAAUUCCCUGGCUAGCUGAACUGAUUCACAUUGGCUAAGACAAACUGUUAACUGUUACCUAAAGAAGAGAACAAACGAGAGAAGAGAAAACGCAAAGAGCCUGCAUGGCUUGGGUUUGAGGAAAAGUUUGGACAACUUUUGAGAGAGAGGAAGAGUGAUUUUGAACCACACAGCUGGACUGGGUGAGUGUAGUUUAUGGAAAAUAGAUGAGAGAAGAGGAUUCCUAGUAAGUUUUGGGAUGUGGAUGCAAUGUGAACAUAAAAGAUUGCCUUCUUAUGGAAACUGCAGCUAAGUACAGGUUACCUUACUCUUCAAUAUUAAGAAUGCUUUGAUGAUUCAGCAUUAGAAGCAUAUUGAAUGGAUUAACUUUACUUACUACCAUAACUACCAAAAUUGGUUAUUAAAGGCCUCUCAUCCCUUUUCUACUGAGAGGAAGUGGAAUGCACUCCGACAAGGAUAAGGUUUUAUUGUGAGCUGGCCUUGGAAUUAAACCACCACCAACACACUUUUGGAUUAUCAGAAGGUGGAAGGAGUGCAAACCAUGUUGAACUUGGAAGGCACGUGCUCCCGCUGGCAAAGCUAAGGACAGACGUGGCUGCAUGACUUGCACUGGACUGUGCUAUGAGUGAGAAACAAAAUUCCAUUGAGUUCUUCUGCUGAGAUUUUAAGAUUUGUUCUUAUUGCAUAGUCUAGCUGAAGCCUAACUUCUCCUUUUCUUAUUCUGUAUACCGUUUCCACAGUGCCAGUUACAGUGAUGCGUUAAACAUCCUUAUUUCCAGUUCAGAAUUUCCCUGGAGCUCCAAAUUUUUAUGUU